CUACGGGUGGCACCAGUAAGGAAUAUUGCGCAAUGGAGGCAACUCUGACGCAGCCAUGCCGCGUGCAGGAAGAAGGCCUUAUGGGUCGUAAACUGCUUUUAUUUAGGAAUAAACCCCCGAACGUGUUCGGGGCUGAAGGUACUAAACGAAUAAGCACCGGCUAACUCCGUGCCAGCAGCCGCGGUAAUACGGAGGGUGCAAGCGUUAUCGGGAUUUAUUGGGUUUAAAGGGUGCGCAGGCGGGCUAUUAAGUCAGUGGUGAAAUCCCGGGGCUCAACUCCGGAACUGCCAUUGAUACUGAUAGUCUUGAGUUUGGUUGAAGUGGGCGGAAUGUAGCAUGUAGCGGUGAAAUGCAUAGAUAUGCUACAGAACACCAAUCGCGAAGGCAGCUCACUAAGCCAAAACUGACGCUCAUGCACGAAAGCGUGGGGAUCAAACAGGAUUAGAUACCCCCCGUAGUC
rnacentral:rRNA from 1 species